rnacentral:rRNA from 1 species
AGUGAACGCUGGCGGUAGGCCUAACACAUGCAAGUCGAACGGCAGCACAGUAAGAGCUUGCUCUUACGGGUGGCGAGUGGCGGACGGGUGAGGAAUACAUCGGAAUCUACUUUUUCGUGGGGGAUAACGUAGGGAAACUUACGCUAAUACCGCAUACGACCUACGGGUGAAAGCAGUGGAUCUUCGUACCUUGCGCGAUUGAAUGAGCCGAUGUCGGAUUAGCUAGUUGGCGGGGUAAAGGCCCACCAAGGCGACGAUCCGUAGCUGGUCUGAGAGGAUGAUCAGCCACACUGGAACUGAGACACGGUCCAGACUCCUACGGGAGGCAGCAGUGGGGAAUAUUGGACAAUGGGCGCAAGCCUGAUCCAGCCAUACCGCGUGGGUGAAGAAGGCCUUCGGGUUGUAAAGCCCUUUUGUUGGGAAAGAAAAGCAGCAUGUUAAUACCCCGCUGUUCUGACGGUACCCAAAGAAUAAGCACCGGCUAACUUCGUG